rnacentral:rRNA from 1 species
UUCCUGGUGGAGCGGUGGAAUGCGCAGAUAUCAGGAGGAACACCAGUGGCGAAGGCGGUUCUCUGGGCCUUUCCUGACGCUGAGGAGCGAAAGCGUGGGGAGCGAACAGGCUUAGAUACCCUGGUAGUCCACGCUGUAAACGGUGGGUACUAGGUGUGGGGUCCUUCCAGGGUUCCGUGCCGUAGCUAACGCUUUAAGUACCCCGCCUGGGGAGUACGGCCGCAAGGCUAAAACUCAAAGGAAUUGACGGGGCCCCGCACAAGCGGCGGAGCAUGCGGAUUAAUUCGAUGCAACGCGUAGAACCUUACCUGGGUUUGACAUGAUCGGGAGUGCUCAGAGAUGGGUGUGCCUCUUUUGGGGUCGGUUCACAGGUGGUGCAUGGCUGUCGUCAGCUCGUGUCGUGAGAUGUUGGGUUAAGUCCCGCAACGAGCGCAACCCUUGUUCACUGUUGCCAGCACGUUAUGGUGGGGACUCAGUGGAGACCGCCGGGGUCAACUCGGAGGAAGGUGGGGAUGACGUCAAGUCAUCAUGCCCCUUAUGUCCAGGGCUUCACGCAUGCUACAAUGGCUGGUACAGAGAGUGGCGAGCCUGUGAGGGUGAGCGAAUCUCGGAAAGCCGGUCUCAGUUCGGAUUGGGGUCUGCAACUCGACCUCAUGAAGUCGGAGUCGCUAGUAAUCGCAGAUCAGCACGCUGCGGUGAAUACGUUCCCGGGGCUUGCACACA